rnacentral:lncRNA from 1 species
UUUUUGGGAUGUCCCCUUUAAGAUCCCAAUGGGAUUGGAAUUCCUUUGUCUUAAGGUGGUGUUGGUCAACCUUUUCCCUUACCUGCCCCGAGGAGGAGUUUAGGAGGUGCUCCCUCACAGGCUGUGCUGUGCAAUCACGGCUGUGUGCUGCCCUGAGCUGCGCUGCUCUUUGUAAGGAGCGUGCCGAGGAGCCGUUAAGUUGAACAGAGCUCAAAUACCCCCUCAGGAGCUGUGGUUUCCAGUGCGAGGUCACUUGCAAAGGGGAAAAGGACUUCCAAGCUUGGACAUACACAGAAUUUGUGGUCUUUCUGCCUUCAACAGACUGAAGAAAGAAGUUAACAGCAGUCAAACUUGCUACCCAUAUGGUGGAAACAUCAGGAUUACUGAAUCCAUAGCAAACUCUCGGCUGUAUGGCUGCUACAGGUAAGCUCAGAGGUU